AGGGCACCACCAGGAGUGGAGCCUGCGGCUUAAUUUGACUCAACACGGGGAAACUCACCAGGUCCAGACACAAUAAGGAUUGACAGAUUGAGAGCUCUUUCUUGAUUUUGUGGGUGGUGGUGCAUGGCCGUUCUUAGUUGGUGGAGUGAUUUGUCUGCUUAAUUGCGAUAACGAACGAGACCUUAACCUACUAAAUAGUGCUGCUAGCAUUUGCUGGUAUGACACUUCUUAGAGGGACUACCGAUUUCAAGUCGGUGGAAGUUUGAGGCA
rnacentral:rRNA from 1 species